UGACGUUCUGGCCCAACUUGGUAGAGGCGCCGGCUCGAGAUGCCGGAUGUUGCGGGUUCGAAUCCCGCGGACGUCAU
rnacentral:tRNA from 1 species